GGCUAACUCCGUGCCAGCAGCCGCGGUAAUACGGGGGAUGCAAGCGUUAUCCGGAAUUAUUGGGCGUAAAGCGUCCGUAGGUGGCUUAUCAAGUCUGUUGUCAAAGCGUGCGGCUUAACCGCAUACGGGCGAUGGAAACUGAUGAGCUAGAGUGCGAUAGGGGUCAGGGGAAUUCCCGGUGUAGCGGUGAAAUGCGUAGAUAUCGGGAAGAACACCAGUGGCGAAAGCGCCUGACUGGGUCUGCACUGACACUGAGGGACGAAAGCUAGGGGAGCGAAAGGGAUUAGAUACCCCUGUAGUCCUAGCUGUAAACGAUGACAACUAGGUGUGGUUCGUAUCGACCCGAGCCGUGCCGUAGCCAACGCGUUAAGUUGUCCGCCUGGGGAGUACGCACGCAAGUGUGAAACUCAAAGGAAUUGACGGGGGCCCGCACAAGCGGUGGAGUAUGUGGUUUAAUUCGAUGCAACGCGAAGAACCUUACCAAGGCUUGACAUCCUCGGAACCCUGAUGAAAGUUAGGGGUGCCUUCGGGAGCCGAGAGACAGGUGGUGCAUGGCUGUCGUCAGCUCGUGUCGUGAGAUGUUGGGUUAAGUCCCGCAACGAGCGCAACCCACGUUUUUAGUUGCCAGCAUUCAGUUGGGCACUCUAGAGAGACUGCCGGUGACAAACCGGAGGAAGGUGUGGAUGACGUCAAGUCAGCAUGCCCCAUACGCCUUGGGCUACACACGUACUACAAUGCUUCGGACAAAGGGCAGCCAGACCGCGAGGUUGAGCCAAUCCCAUAAACCGAGGCACAGUUCAGAUUGCAGGCUGCAACUCGCCUGCAUGAAGGCGGAAUCGCUAGUAAUCGCAGGUCAGCAUACUGCGGUGAAUACGUUCCCGGGCCUUGUACACACCGCCCGUCACACCAUGGGAGUUGGUCAUGCCCGAAGUCGUUACUCCAACCGUUCGCGGAGGAGGACGCCGAAGGUG
rnacentral:rRNA from 1 species